UUUAUGUCUUAGCCCUUUUUAUGACAAAUUAUUUAUUGUUUAGUCACUACUUUAGAGCCUGUUUCAUUUUUUCUUAAUUUUAUUAAAGGAUGAUAUUGAUGAUGAAAUGUCUUACAAUGAUCAUUUAGAGGUUUAUUUUGAACAACUUGCAAUUCCAGGAAUGAUGGAAUAAAACAUAUGAAGUAGAAGGACUGGAACCUCCAGAAAAAAUACUUUAAGUUACCUGCAAGUGAUCCUAGUCAGGUAUGAAUUGAUAAGAAAUGCCUGCACCUUACCUCCUUCCUAUCUUUCCCUUGUCUACAGAAAAUUAAAAGGCAUAGACAAUGGACAUCUAUAUAUUCUUCAUUCAGAUCAACCAGUGGCUAGCAUUUGCCACCUUUGCAUUUUCUUUCUAUUUCCAUAAGUACUUUCUUCUCUGAAUCAUUUGAAAGUAAGUUGCAGAGAGCAAGAUGUUUUACCCCAACACUUCAG
rnacentral:lncRNA from 1 species